rnacentral:rRNA from 1 species
AACGGUGGCUAAUACCGGAUAUGCCCUCGGGUGAAAGAUUAAUUGCCAGAAGAAGAGCUCGCGUCUGAUUAGCUAGUUGGAGAGGUAAAGGCUCACCAAGGCAUCGAUCAGUAGCUGGUCUGAGAGGACGAUCAGCCACACUGGGACUGAGACACGGCCCAGACUCCUACGGGAGGCAGCAGUGGGGAAUUUUCCGCAAUGGGCGAAAGCCUGACGGAGCAAGACCGCGUGAGGGAGGAAGGCUCUUGGGUUGUAAACCUCUUUUGUCAGGGAAGAAGAAAGUGACGGUACCUGAAGAAUCAGCAUCGGCUAACUCCGUGCCAGCAGCCGCGGUAAUACGGAGGAUGCAAGCGUUAUCCGGAAUUAUUGGGCGUAAAGCGUCCGCAGGUGGUCAAUCAAGUCUGCUGUCAAAGCACGUGGCUUAACCACGAAAAGGCAGUGGAAACUGAAGGACUAGAGUGCUCAAGGGGUAGAGGGAAUUCUCGGUGUAGCGGUGAAAUGCG